UUCUUUAUACAUUUCUUUAUGCGUUUAAUCUUCAUCCUGUAUAAAGCAGACACUGUUUUCUUUUUCAGUCUCAGUAUUUGCAGUCGGUUGGAGCAAGGCACACUGUUAGUGACUUGGAGAUGCCAAUCCAAAGGUUGACCCUGGACAUCUCCCAGAAAGAUGGAAGGUUUAACACAAGAUUCCAGGUUAUUGUCAAUUGGUGGUGGAGCUGAUGAGGUCAUGCUGGGAAUCAUUUCCAAGUACAUGGACACACUCCCCAAGAAUUGAAGUCAUCAACGUUGCUGAUAAUGUGAUAUUUAUUCACAAAACAGCUUCCAUACACAGAUCACCUGAAGUGCAGUUCUGAAAUGUUUUAACAGUUUAAUACGUAUAGGAAAUAAUAUUUUGCGUUUUGCCUUUGAUUGUUUGAACUCUUAUAUUCAUGGCCAGACUAAUACUCUGAAAACAAAAUUUCUUUAUCAUCUUAAAAAUGUGAAUAGCUGAAGACAAAUUGUAUGUAAUGUAAAUUGUAACAAGUUAAUUCAAACAAUGUUUGUCCAUUGAAAUCUAAACCUAUUUUUCAGCUGAGGACAGUAAAUAAUGUACUAAAUUAAAGUUGUCAUGCAAAGGUUCUGA